UUCCGGUUGAUCCUGCCGGAGGCUACUGCUAUCGGGGUUCGAUUAAGCCAUGCGAGUUAAAUGUUCUUCGUGAACAUAGGGAAGUGGUCAGUAACACGUGGAUAACCUACCCUUAGGACCGGAAUAACCCCGGGAAACUGGGGAUAAUACCGGAUAAGCCAUAGACGCUGGAAUGCCCUAUGGUUCAAAGCUCCGGCGCCUAAGGAUGGAUCUGCGGUCUAUCAGGUUGUAGUGGGUGUAACGUACCUACUAGCCGACGACGGAUACGGGUUGUGAGAGCAAGAGCCCGGAGAUGGAUUCUGAGACACGAAUCCAGGCCCCUACGGGGUGCAGCAGGCGCGAACACUUUACAAUGCGGGAAACCGCGAUAAGGGAACCCCGAGUGCCAGCACCAAGUGUUGGCUGUCCGGAUGAUUAAAAAUCAUUUGUUAGCAAGGGCCGGGCAAGACCGGUGCCAGCCCGCCGCGGUAACACCGGCGGCCCGAGUGGUAGCCGUUUUUAUUGGGUCUAAAGGGUCCGUAGCCCGGCCUGAUAAGUCCUUUGGGAAAUCUGGCAGCUUAACUGUCAGGCUUCUAAGGGAUACUGUCAGGCUUGGGACCGGAAGAGGUAAGGGGUACUCCAGGGGUAGGAGUGAAAUCUUGUAAUCCCUGGGGGACCAUCUGUGGCGAAGGCCCCUUACCAGAACGGGUCCGACGGUGAGGGACGAAAGCUAGGGGAGCAAACCGGAUUAGAUACCCGGGUAGUCCUAGCUGUAAACGAUGCUCGCUAGGUGUCAGACACGGUGCGACCGUGUUUGGUGCCGCAGGGAAGCCGUUAAGCGAGCCACCUGGGAAGUACGGUCGCAAGGCUGAAACUUAAAGGAAUUGCGGGGGAGCACUACAACGGGUGGAGCCUGCGGUUUAAUUGGAUUCAACGCCGGAAAACUCACCGGGUGCGACAGCAACAUGUAGGUCAGGCUGAAGGUCUUACCUGUAAUCGCUGAGAGGAGGUGCAUGGCCGUCGUCAGUUCGUACUGUGAAGCAUCCUGUUAAGUCAGGCAACGAGCGAGACCCGCGCCCACAGUUGCCAGCAUGUUCUCAGGAACGAUGGGUACACUGUGGGGACCGCCGCUGCUAAAGCGGAGGAAGGAACGGGCUACGGUAGGUCAGUAUGCCCCGAAUCUCCCGGGCUACACGCGGGCUACAAUGGUUGGGACAAUGGGCACCUACCCUGAAAAGGGAUGGUAAUCUCCGAAACCCAACCGUAGUUUGGAUUGAGGGCUGUAACUCGCCCUCAUGAAGCUGGAA
rnacentral:rRNA from 1 species